AUUGAACGCUGGCGGAAUGCUUUACACAUGCAAGUCGAACGGCAGCACGGGAGCUUGCUCCUGGUGGCGAGUGGCGAACGGGUGAGUAAUGCGUCGGAACGUGCCGAGUAAUGGGGGAUAACGCAGCGAAAGUUGUGCUAAUACCGCAUACGCCCUGAGGGGGAAAGUGGGGGAUCGCAAGACCUCACGUUAUUCGAGCGGCCGACGUCUGAUUAGCUAGUUGGUGGGGUAAAGGCCUACCAAGGCGACGAUCAGUAGCGGGUCUGAGAGGAUGAUCCGCCACACUGGGACUGAGACACGGCCCAGACUCCUACGGGAGGCAGCAGUGGGGAAUUUUGGACAAUGGGCGCAAGCCUGAUCCAGCCAUGCCGCGUGCAGGAAGAAGGCCUCGGUUGUAACGUAGCUUUGUUCUAGGGAA
rnacentral:rRNA from 1 species